GUCUAUGGCCAUGCUGCCCUGAACAAACCCGAUCCCGUCUGAUUUCGUAAGCUAAGCAGGGUCGGGCCUGGUUAGUACUUGGAUGAGAGACCCCCUAGGAAGACCAGGUGCUAUAGGCG
rnacentral:rRNA from 1 species